rnacentral:rRNA from 1 species
GAUCAUGGCUCAGGAUGAACGCUAGCGGCAGGCUUAAUACAUGCAAGUCGUGGGGCAGCAGGUUUGUAGCAAUACAGAUGCUGGCGACCGGCAAACGGGUGCGGAACACGUACAGAACCUUCCUUUGAGCGGGGAAUAGCCCAGAGAAAUUUGGAUUAAUACCCCAUAGUAUAAUGAAGUGGCAUCACUUUAUUAUUAAAGAUUUAUCACUCGAAGAUGGCUGUGCGGCUGAUUAGGUAGUUGGCGGGGUAAAGGCCCACCAAGCCUGCGAUCAGUAACUGGUGUGAGAGCACGACCAGUCACACGGGCACUGAGACACGGGCCCGACUCCUACGGGAGGCAGCAGUAAGGAAUAUUGGUCAAUGGAGGCAACUCUGAACCAGCCAUGCCCGCGUGGAGGAUGAAGGUCCUCUGGAUUGUAAACUUCUUUUAUAUGGGACGAAAAAGGCUUUUCUAAGUCGUCUGACGGUACCAUAUGAAUAAGCACCGGCUAACUCCGUG